AAUAGCUUUAGGGCUAGCCUCGAUUUAGUCUUAUGGAGGUAGAGCACUGAAUUUCCGCGGGGGCGUCAAAGCUUACCAAAGAAUAUCAAACUCCGAAUGCCAUGUAGAUGAUGAUCGGGAGUCAGACUGCACGAGAUAAGUUGGGCAGUCAAAAGGGAAAGAGCCCAGACCUACAGCUAAGGUCCCAAAGUGCGUGUUAAGUGGAAAAGGAUGUGGGAUUUCGAAGACAACUAGGAUGUUGGCUCAGAAGCAGCCAUACAUUCAAAGAGUGCGUAACAGCUCACUAGUCGAGAGUUCCUGCGCCGAAAAUGUCCGGGGCUGAAACACGACACCGAAGCCGUGGACUCGCAAUGCGAGUGGUAGAGGAGCAUUCUUAAAACCGACGAAGCUGUACCGUAAGGAGCAGUGGAGGGAUAAGAAGAGAGAAUGCCGGAAUGAGUAGCGAGAGAAAGGUGGGAAUCCUUUCGGCCGAAUAUCUAAGGUUUCCAGAGUAAAGCUGAUCUGCUCUGGGUAAGUCGGGGCCUAAGCACAGGUCGCAAGACGUAAGCGAUGGAUAACAGGUUUAGAUUCCUGUACCACGCAUUAUCAGAACUGUAGGGACGCAUGUGGAAAGCACGAGCCGGGAAUGGAAAAACCGGUACAAGCGGGGUAGGUGUACAAUAGGCAAAUCCGUUGUAUAAUCCGAAGACGUGAUGUGGAGCGAAAUAAAGUAGCAAAGCGUGUGAGCCAUGUGCCGAGAAAAGCUGCUAUUGUGUAAUGCGUGCCCGUACCGUAAACCGACACAGGUGGAUGAGGAGAGAAUCCUAAGGCCGGCGGAAGAAGCAUUGUUAAGGAAUUCGGCAAAAUGACCCCGUAACUUCGGGAGAAGGGGUGCCUGCGAGAGCAGGCCGCAGAGAAUAGGCUCAAGCAACUGUUUAGCAAAAACACAGGUCUAUGCGAAACCGAAAGGUGAAGUAUAUGGGCUGACGCCUGCCCGGUGCUGGAAGGUUAAGAGGAGAGGUUAGCGCAAGCGAAGCUUUGAAUUUAAGCCCCAGUAAACGGCGGCCGUAACUAUAACGGUCCUAAGGUAGCGAAAUUCCUUGUCGGGUAAGUUCCGACCCGCACGAAAGGCGUAAUGAUUUGAGCACUGUCUCGACAAUGCAUCCGGUGAAAUUGAAGUACCAGUGAAGAUGCUGGUUACCCGCGCCAGGACGGAAAGACCCCAUGGAGCUUUACUCCAGUUUGAUACUGGGAUUCGGUACUGCAUGUACAGGAUAGGUGGGAGACGAAGAAGGAUGGACGCCAGUCUGUCCGGAGUCGCUGUUGGGAUACCACCCCUGUAGUACUGGGUUUCUAACCAGUUGCCAUGAACUGGCAAUGGGACAAUGUCAGGCGGGGAGUUUGACUGGGGCGGUCGCCUCCGAAAGGGUAUCGGAGGCGCUCAAAGGUUCCCUCAGAAUGGUUGGAAACCAUUCGAAGAGUGCAAAGGCAGAAGGGAGCUUGACUGCGACACCGACGGGUGGAGCAGGUACGAAAGUAGGACUUAGUGAUCCGGUGGUAUAAAGUGGGAUUGCCAUCGCUCAACGGAUAAAAGCUACCCUGGGGAUAACAGGCUUAUCACUCCCAAGAGUUCACAUCGACGGAGUGGUUUGGCACCUCGAUGUCGGCUCAUCGCAUCCUGGGGCUGUAGUAGGUCCCAAGGGUUGGGCUGUUCGCCCAUUAAAGCGGUACGCGAGCUGGGUUCAGAACGUCGUGAGACAGUUCGGUCCCUAUCCGGCGUGGGCGUAGGAUAUUUGAGAGGAGCUGUCCUUAGUACGAGAGGACCGGGAUGGACUGGCCGCUGGUGUAUCUGUUGUCUUACCAAAGGCAUAGCAGAGUAGCCAAGCCGGGAAGGGAUAAACGCUGAAGGCAUCUAAGCGUGAAGCCCCCCUCAAGAUGAGAUAUCCCUCCUUCGGGAGUAAGACCCCUUGA
rnacentral:rRNA from 1 species